CUACGGGUUGCAGCAGUGGGGAAUAUUGCACAAUGGAGGAAACUCUGAUGCAGCAACGCCGCGUGGAGGAUGACACUUUUCGGAGCGUAAACUCCUUUUAUAUAGGAAAAAGAUGACGGUACUAUAUGAAUAAGCGCCGGCUAACUCCGUGCCAGCAGCCGCGGUAAUACGGAGGGCGCAAGCGUUACUCGGAAUCACUGGGCGUAAAGAGCGUGUAGGCGGAUUAAAAAGUCAGAAGUGAAAUCCUAUAGCUUAACUAUAGAACUGCUUCUGAAACUCUUAAUCUAGAAUAUGGGAGGGCAGAUGGAAUUUCUGGUGUAGGGGUAAAAUCCGUAGAGAUCAGAAGGAAUACCGAUUGCGAAGGCGAUCUACUAGAACAUUAUUGACGCUGAGACGCGAAAGCGUGGGGAGCAAACAGGAUUAGAUACCCCUGUAGUC
rnacentral:rRNA from 1 species